GACGAACGCUGGCGGCGUGCCUAAUACAUGCAAGUCGAGCGCGGCGGCGGCUGGGUGAGUAACGCGUGGGUAACCUGCCCUUUAGUCUGGGAUAUCACUUGGACACAGAUGCUAUUACCGGCUACUAAAGGAUGGCCCUUAGAUGCAUUAGAUAGUUGGUAAGGUAACGGAUUACCAAGGCGAUGAUGCAGAGCCGAGUUGAGAGAGUGAGCGGCCACAUUGGGACUGAGACACGGCCCAAACUCCUACGGGAGGCAGCAGUAGGGAAUCUUCCACAAUGGACGAAAGUCUGAUGGAGCAACGCCGCGUGAGUGAAGAAGGUUUUCGGAUCGUAAAGCUCUGUUGUUGGUGAAGCGGUAAUCAACCAGAAAGUCACGGCUAACUACGUGCCAGCAGCCGCGGUAAUAC
rnacentral:rRNA from 1 species